CUCCACCAUUUGAACUUCCUUUGCCAACUCCAGGAUAAUCAACUUCAGUCAUAAACCUAGACCAAAACCAAUGUUCUUUCCACACAAUAACCAUCUCUUCAAUAGGUACAUUCUUCGUCUCGGGUAAGAAAAAAUAGAUAAAAAGGGUCAUCACAAACACGAAGAAUGCAAAGAAGAUGAACAACCCGAACUUCAAAUGACACAACAAUGUCAAGAACACUUGCGCGACGAUAAAUGUGAAGAUCAUGUUGACUGAAACAUUAAUACUUUGAGCUGCAGAACGAAUUUCGAGUGGGAAAAUUUCACUUGGAACUAACCAACCAAGAGGUCCCCAUGACCAAGCAAAUCCUGCUACAUAAGCACAAAUGAAUAUUACCACAACUAUAGCAUACCAGUAAGUUGCUGAACAAGACAGGAGCAUAAAACAUGAUCACAUUAAUUCCAGUAAGUUGCUGGAAAAAUGGGAUAACAAUAGCCAUAGUUAAAUGUGGCCUAUAUUUCUUUUGUAAGAAAAAAUACAUAAAAAUGGUCAUCACGAACACGAAGAAUGCAAAGAAGAUGAACAACCCGAACUUCAAGUGACACAACAGUGUCAGAAACACUUGCGCGACGAUAAAUGUGAAGAUCAUGU
rnacentral:lncRNA from 1 species